UCUGGCCUCAAAUCAGGUAGGGCUACCCGCUGAACUUAAGCAUAUCAAUAAGCGGAGGAAAAGAAACUAACUAGGAUUCCCUUAGUAACGGCGAGUGAACCGGGAUGAGCUCAAAUUUGAAAUCUGGCGUCUUUCAGGCGUCCGAGUUGUAAUCUAUAGAGGCGUUUUCCGCGCCGGACCGCGUCCAAGUCUCUUGGAAUAGAGUAUCAAAGAGGGUGACAAUCCCGUACUUGACGCGACAACCGGUGCUCUGUGAUACGUUCUCAACGAGUCGAGUUGUUUGGGAAUGCAGCUCUAAAUGGGUGGUAAAUUCCAUCUAAGGCUAAAUAUUGGCGAGAGACCGAUAGCGAACAAGUACCGUGAGGGAAAGAUGAAAAGCACUUUGGAAAGAGAGUUAAACAGCACGUGAAAUUGUUAAAAGGGAAACGAUUGAAGUCAGUCGUGUGAAAGGUAUUCAGCCGUCUCUGGCGGUGUAUUUGCCUUUCACGGGUCAACAUCAGUUUAGUCCGGUAGAAAAAGGCUGGAGGAAGGUGGCACCCUCGGGUGUGUUAUAGCCUCCUGUCACAUGUGCCGGAUUAGACUGAGGAACGCAGCUUGCCGCAAGGCCGGGGUUCGCCCACGUACAAGCUUAGGAUGUUGACAUAAUGGCUUUAAACGACCCGUCUUGAAACACGGACCAAGGA
rnacentral:rRNA from 1 species